GGAAAUGUGCCUGAAUUAAAGGACUACUUUGAUAGAGUAGGUCAUAGAGGUUAAACCCCCCUCAUUUCCU
rnacentral:tRNA from 1 species